rnacentral:lncRNA from 1 species
AAAUAUUUUUUUAAAAAGCAUCUUGGAAGAAUUUUUUGGGGCACAAGUUCUCUCCCUUGCAUUUCAGGCAUGGACACUUCCUGGAGCUUCCUCCCACGUGGAACCUUCCCAGACUUACAGUUGGAGGGAGGUGUUCUGCAUUCCCUGGCCUCGGGGGAUCCCCACGAGCUCACCCCAGCACUGACCAUGGUAGGAGCACUUGGGGACUGCCCUACACCCUGUGCCCUUCAGGACCCUCUGUAUGAGGCUGGGGCUCUGUGCUGCAGGCAUUGGAGGACUGCAAUGUCUGCACAUAUUGGAGAAGUUCAGUGCCCAGUUCUGCAGUAUUGCCUUGGAAAUGCCUCCUUUUGACUUUUGUUCCUUGUUUCUUGGGGAGCCUAUCAAGAGAGUGGAUUUAACUUGUGUCUACAGAAACAGAAGAACUAAAGAAAGGUGAAUAACUUCUGUGUGAAAUUUCCCUCCAGGGAACUAACUGCAAAUUGCAGUGGUUAUUAAUACUUGUAACUCAAGUCUAAUCAGGGAAAAUUAAGAGCAAACAUUUACUUUGCAUCCUACAACCUAUGAUGGGGCUAGAAAACAAGAACUCUUACUCUUUUUGGCACUGGUUUUCAUUUUCUUGAUUUUGUUGUUUGUUUAAGGAAAAUAAGGGAAAAAGGAAAGCCAUCUCGGGAAAAGAGCAAAGCUCUCUUGUCACCUGGGAUAUGGAGAAUCAAAGGUGAAGUCCAGGGUGAAAAAUGGGCAGAGAGAGGAUUCCCAUGCCUGAGAUGGGAGCCUCUGUAGGGUAUGAGUGUGGUGUGGGCUGUUGCCUUCUCAGGUUUGUAGCUGGGAAUUCCCC